AUUGAACGCUGGCGGCAGGCCUAACACAUGCAAGUCGAACGAGUGGGGACGGGUGAGUAACACGUGGGUAACCUCCCAUCAGAGGGGAUAACACUUGGAAACAGGUGCUAAACCGAUACUGAUGGAUGAACUCGCGGUGCAUUAGCUAGUUGGUGAGGUAACGGCUCACCAAGGCCACGAUGCAUAGCCGACCUGGGGGGGUGAUCGACCAAAAUGGGACUGAGACACGGCCCAGACUCCUACGGGAGGAAGCAGUAGGGAAUCUUGGGCAAUGGACGAAAGUCUGACCGAGCAACGCCGCGUGAGUGAAGAAGGUUUUCGGAUCGUAAAACUCUGAUGUUAGAGAAGCGGUAUCUAACCAGAAAGCCACGGCUAACUACGUGCCAGCAGCCGCGGUAAUAC
rnacentral:rRNA from 1 species